CCUAAACCCACGUGUAUAACUUUUGAUACUCUAUGUCUCAAUUUAGGCAAGCUAAGAUUAAUGGGAUGAUUUAAAAAAAAAUGUGUAUGUGACAGACUCAGCCUGCAAGACCCACAUGGUGCUGAGAAGCACCUCCAGGUUGCCUUGGAAGACCAGGAGGCGCUGGUAUGGUAGAGAGCACCCUCUAGUGGUGGAGGAGUGCCUGGCAGACAUCUUGGCCCGACACCUGCGCUGACACAGCAGGGUGAGACUACCUCUCUUCUAGUGUUCUUCUGGUUCUUUUUCUCCUCUUCUUCAUCAUUAAUUGUGUCCUCCAUCGUUUCCUCAGUAGUUUAUUCUCUUCUCCCUCUUCCUCCUCGGUAGUUUACUCAGUCAGUCACAGUAUAUGAAUGUUACAGUGUGGUGAAGAUGUGACGUGUUGAGGCAGAGGCUAGCAGUGGAGCUGUAUCGACACACGGUGCACGUCAAAGACCAGAACAUGAAGCUUUGUCCCCCCGCAUCGCCAUGUCUUCAGGCGAAGGGAUGCAGCCUCGCACGCACCUUGGUCAAACUUGGCAGGCAGAUAUGUCAUGGCUCCGGUAAUACAGAGAGUAGAGAGGCUGUUGAACUGCUGCAGAGAGCUCUGGACCUGUACAUCUGCUUCCUGGGGUCUGAUCACACACUGACCAGAGACUUACAACAGGUUUUAAACACAGAAUCCAGGAGACCUCUGACCACUUGGGUCUUCAGUUCCAGAACCCUCUCCCACCUCUCCACUAGGAGACUAAGCAGUGGGACCAGACCCAACACAGCCGCACCCCUCCACUCCCACCUGGCCUGGUACCGGGGCACCACACACACCCCUCUGGACCUCUCCGGAAAGAGAUUCCUGUCAGCCCCAUCCAACAAGUUCCGCAAUACACAGCCAGAACUGAAACCAGAACUGUGGAAUACCUGAACUACAUCAACAGACAGAACCAACUGUCUUCUUCUCCCAGGCCCUGGUCUGCCUUCCAGACCACAGUGUUUGGGCCACAGAGUGACAUCAGAAACCUGAUCUCAAACCCAGUCCUUCUUCAGCACCGGGCUUUCAUUCCAUAGACAGGACCCAAGUGCUGCAUAGGGCAGGCUGGUGCCACCUACCAGGCAGGUACGUUCUGGAGGAACGGACAGUAACAGCUUUGAACAGAGAGAUUGGAUCCCCUUUGCACACACAGAGAUGCACACCGCUGGUCAGACAGACAGGCCAGGGACAGGGAGGAGAACAGAGCUGGUCAGACAGACAGGUCAGGAACAGGGAGGAGAACAGAACUGGUCAGACAGACAGGCCAGGGACAGGGAGGAGAACAGAGCUGGUCAGACAGACAGGCCAGGGACAGGGAGGAGAACAGAGCUGGUCAGACAGACAGGCCAGGGACAGGGAGGAGAACAGAGCUGGAGAGACAGACAGGCCAGGGACAGGGAGGAGAACAGAGCUGGAGAGACAGACAGGCCAGGGACAUGGAGGAGAACAGAGCUGGAGAGACAGACAGGUCAGGGACAGGGAGGAGAACAGAGCUGGAGAGACAGUGUCUUAUUCUGCCAGGAGGCACUAGAGAGAAGAGAAAGAUCUAGAGAAGACUGCUCUCAUGGUGACCACUGAACUAUUUGAGUGUUUAUUCUUUUACCACUUUUGAUACCAAUCAGCUGUUUUUAUUUUUUCCAUAUAAUUUCAAAUAGAAUUGUUGCAUGUUUACAUGGAGUGAAAUGGCCCCUAUUUUGUACAGAAACUAAAUGAUUUGACUUCAUGUUGUCAAAUGAAUCGACCCUUUUUAGUUUUCUGUAGGGUUGCAUCUAAAUAUUGUUUUAAUGUUUUGUAAGAUGGUUAAGCUCCUCAUCCUGGUGUGCAACAACAUUGACCUUUUAUCUCAGAAGGCAAUACUUAUAGUAUUUCUAGUCAAGUGAGUGAUGUAAUCAACCAUUGUAAGCACUAGUAAACGAUGUGACCGAAAGCAUGAAUUGAGCAACAUGCUACAGAUGCUGUGAAGUAGGACUAAGCCAGUUUGGACCUUACCAUGUAAUGUAGAGUUUGGGUCAUACGUUCAAAGGUCUGUAUGUUUGUAUAUAUAUAUAUAUAUGUGUGUGUGUGUGUCUAUGUUUGUGUAGAAUUGAGUGUGUGUGUGUGUCACAGGAGGUUGGUGUCACCUUAAUUGGUGGAGGACGGGAUCGUGGUGGUGGCUGAAGCGGAAUUAGUGGAAUGGUAUCAAAUACAUCAAUACGGCCGGAAUGGUUCAUGCUGCGGGCGGGCAGUGGGUGGUCAGACGACUUCAGGAUGAAAAUGUUGUUUUAGUCCAGCCAGCAGAGGCUCAUGUUACACAGCCGGCUUGCGCACCUGCUUCUAACAGUGGUGGCAAAAACAAUGAUCCGAUGUGAUUGUGUUUGUGGCCAUUUAUGUGAUGAAUGAUAACAUGAUCAAAUCCUAUAGGAGUCCAAUAAGACUGGUUCCAAAAUCGGAUAGGAUUUGUAUAUUAGUAUCUUGUAUUGGAAUCCUAUAGGAUAGAAUGGUAAAGAGUCCAAUAGGACUGGUUCCAAAAUCGGAUAGGAUUUGUAUAUUAGUAUCUUGUAUUGGAAUCCUAUAGGAUAGAAUGGUAAAGAGUCCAAUAGGACUGGUACCAAAAUCGGAUAGGAUUUGUAUAUUAGUAUCUUGUAUUGGAAUCCUAUAGGAUAGAAUGGUAAAGAGUCCAAUAGGACUGGUACCAAAAUCGGAUAGGAUUGUUCUGUUGGUUUGUUGUAGAUUAAAUCCUAUAGGAUAUAAUCCCAUAGGAGUCCAAUAGGACUAGUUCCAAAAUCUGAGAGGAUUUUUCUGUUGGUCAUACUGCAAAUGAACUUGCAACCUUGAAUCCCUCCCAUGUUGUGGUGGUGUGUUGAAUAGGUUGAGAGGUGUGAGUACGUAAAUUUAUGGAGAUUGCGCUCCGGUUAAAGGCUUUCCUACACUGUACGUCAGAUUGUCUAUUACGAUUAUUACAUGUCACACUGUGUGAUGUUACCAAAUUAAAAUCAUAAUAUCAACUUGGCCAGAUUGUACGAUUUGCUUCAGUUCUGUCGAGAAAGUCUGCGAUGGCUAAAAUUGCAGAAAGGCUAUGACAAUGUUCUGCCAGUAUGAGUGUUUGGCUGAAAAUCUCCCUCCUGACAGAAUUCUCCUCCACGCACGUACUCAAUUCUUCAUUGCUGAGACUUCCUUGCUAGUUGAGAUUUCACUAGUAAUGUCUGCAGUUUUCGGGUUUGGCUAUUUGUUUCAAGUGUAUUAAUCUAAAAAUAAAUCUCUUUGCCAAAAUCCGUCAUCUCUCCCGUGUCUUAUUCAAUUAGUAGUUGUUCUGAAAUGUUUAUUGCUUUCCUACAUUUUACUCCCUCUGUUUAAUAUCACACACAUACAUUAAUUAUUCAUUUCGGUUGCCUAUCCUGCCAUGAAGUUUGUUCCAUAGAAAGUAUGUGACUCUGAUGUGUGCCACAGAAAGUAUUUGACUGUAGUGACAAAAUUUUGGCCAAAAUCCCCCCCUUUGCAUCUUGGGACUGCAAGGCCUGACACACUUCAUAAUCAUUUUGGUAGCUCAUGUUGACCAGUAGUGUGUGCCACAGAAAG
ensembl:lncRNA